rnacentral:rRNA from 1 species
UACGUAGGGAGCAAGCGUUAUCCGGAUUUACUGGGUGUAAAGGGCGCGUAGGCGGGACGACAAGUCAGGUGUGAAAUCUGGUGGCUCAACCACCAAACUGCACUUGAAACUGUUGUUCUUGAGUGAUGGAGAGGCAAGUGGAAUUCCUAGUGUAGCGGUGAAAUGCGUAGAUAUUAGGAGGAACACCAGUGGCGAAGGCGACUUGCUGGACAUUAACUGACGCUGAGGCGCGAAAGCGUGGGGAGCAAAC